ACCAGGGGAAGACUGAUGACAAGGAAUCUUCCUCCAGAGCUGACGCAGAGAGAAAGCCGUUCCCUGGAGCUGACACCCUGAAUUUGGACUUGUAACCUACUAGACUGUGAGGGAAUAAAUUUCUCUUUGUUAACGCCAUCCACUUGUGGUAUUCCUGUUACAGCAGCACUAGAUGACUAAGACAAAUAAAUAAAUAAAAGCAUUCUAAUAGUAGCACAAGAUCCCCUCAUAGAUAACUGUUGAUGUUGUUUAUAUUCUUGCAGAGUUUUACAAUACAUACAUACAUAUAUCUAUUUUUAAUUAUUUUUUUGUUGUGCAAUGGGUGAAACUUUACAGAGCAAAUUAUUUCCCCAUUUGAUAGUUUGUACACAAAAUGUUCCGUGGCAUUGGUUUCAUUCCCCACAAUGUGUCAGCACUCUCCCCAUUUCCGCCCUAGUUUCUCCAUUUCCUUUUGUCCUGAUUUUCUACCCCUUCCUGCCUUUUCAGCUUUCCUUUCGGGAAAAUGUUGCCCUUUUGAUCUCGUAUAAUUGGUCGUUCUGAGAAAGCACAUUCUUAUUGUUUAUUUUUUGGACCUAUCUAUGGCUUGGUUGAAAGGUGGUUUCUGGGAAUGGCUUUAGUUCCAGGUCUGAAGGAUGUUUUAGAACCAUAGUCUUAGAGGUUCCUCCAGUCUCUGCCAGAACAGUAAGUCUGGUCUUUUUUGUGAAAUUGAUUUUUUGUUCUGCAGUUUUCCUCUCUGUCUGGGACCCUCUAUUGUGAACCCAGUUAGAGUGGUUGGUAGUGAUAGCUGGGUACCAUCUGUCUCAGGGAAUAUUUUUAAUAUGUAUGAAUGUGUUCAUAGCAGACGCCGUUGGCUGCCUACGUGACAUCCAUUCUUGCUCUUUUCUAAACAACCCCAUUUUGUUCAGGAGAUUCAAGCUAUUUGCCAUGCCAAGAGUUGGCUUAAGAAUGGGCACAGGAUGCAAUUCUGGCCAAUAAUACUCAAGAGGAAGUUUGCUAGGGCCGUCUGGAAAAAAAAUUAAAAAAUGAAAAAAUAAAAAAAAACAAUUUUUAUUUUUUCUGGAAAGGUUCCUCACUCAUAAAGACUCACACAUCACCAGGCAGAGGCUGCCUCUCUUCUUCCACAGGAUGUUGACACAUCUGAAUUGGAUGCCCAGAGCCAUGGCAGCCAUCUUGUGUCCAUGAGGGAAUGAGCCAAAGGACCAAGCUGGCAUGCUGAAAGUGGACAAGACAGCAAAUUUCCUCAUUGUUUAUAUGAAGUCAGCCAGGGUUUUCUGUUAUUUGCAGCUGAAGGCAUCCUAAAUGAUAGGCCAUACAUAUUUAUUAUUAUGUAGAAAAGGAAUUUGAUUAUCCAGGGUGAUCAACAUGUCCCUGUUUGCAUGGGACUUCCCAGGUUUUAAAACUGCAAGUCUCACAUUUCAGGAACCCCUUCAGUUUCUGGAAAACCUGCACCACUGGUCAUCCUACAUUGUAAAUAUUUCUGUAAUUUGUCUUUGUCAUUUAAUGUAUUUUAUGUAUCUUUCCACAUCGAUACAUAAACACAUGUAUUUUUAAUUUUUGGUUGCAUAGAAUUCUGUCGUGUGAGUCAGUUCACUCAUUUGCUUUUUAAUGAACAUAUUUUUUCUCUCAAUAAUAUUGUUCUCUGUUGUUUGUAAAAGGGAGGCUAUAUAAGCACUCAGUUCUCAACUCUUUUUUUUUUUCUUUGUCUUUAAAUGCACACAAGAAAGUGACCUUCGAGUAGGCAAGAGAACCCACAAAACAAACAAAAACACCCCAAGGCACCGUAUCAUGUUUUAACUAGCUACUUACUCCUCCGCCUUCCUUAACGGAACUGUGACCUGCCUUCCAUUUUAAUCCCACCUAUUGCUUCCUCUUUGGUUUGCUCUAGCCUCGAUGACUCCCAGUUUGAAAGUAAAAUUGGCUGGUAUCACCACAAAGAUUCUCUGAUCCAGCAUUCACUCCAAAGGAAUUAUCCUGGUCUUUCAAACCAGGGCUUCGAACUGGUUUGAACUGGUUAAGUCAUAGCUAACUGAAGCGAAACCGGCACAGAUCGGAAACCUGUUACUUACUAAGCAUUGUAAUAAGUUUCUGUUCUCAUUUUGGACACAGUUCCAACAAAAUAACUUAUCUCAUUUCCUAACUUGCACCAACUCAGACAAAAAAUAGCAAAUUAAGAAGAAGUCCUAGCUUCUCAGAAGGCAUUGGCGAAAAACAAGUUUCCAGGAAUUGAUGCAAUAUCAAUUGAGAUAUUGCAACAAACAGAUGCAGCGCUGGAGGUGCUUGCUCAUCUAUGCCAAGAAAUAUGGAAGACAGCUUCCUGGCCAACUGACUGGAAGAGAUCCAUAUUUAUGCCUAUUCCCAAGAAAGAUGAUCCAGCCGAAGGUGGAAAUUAUAGAACAAUAUCAUUAAUAUCACACGCAAGCAAAAUUCUGCUGAAGAUCAUUGAAAAACAGCUGCAGCAGUAUGUCGAGAGGGAACUGCCAGAAAUUCAGGCUUGUUUCAGAAGAGGACAUGGAACCAGGGAUAUCAUUGCUGAUGUCAGAUGGAUACUGGCUGAAAGCAGAGAAUACCAGAAGGAUGUUUACCUGUGUUUUAUUGACUAUGCAAAGGGUUUGACUGUGUGGAUCAUAACAAACUAUGGAUAACACUGCGAAGGAUGGGAAAUCCAGAACACUUAAUUGUGCUCAUGAGGAACCUUUACAUGGAUCAAGAGGCAGUUGUUCGGACAGAACAAGGGGAUACUGAUUGGUUUAAAGUCAGGAAAGGUGUGGGUCAGGGUUCUAUUCUUUCACCAUACCUUUUUAGUCUGUAUGCUGAGCAAAUGAUGCUAGAAGCUGGACUAUAUGAAGAAAAACGGGGCACCAGGAUUAGAGGAAGACUCAUUAACAACCUGCAUUAUGCAGAUGACACAACCUUGUUUGCUGAAAGUGAAGAGGACUUGAAACACUUACUGAUGAAGAUCAAAGACCACAGCCUUCAGUAUGGAUUGCACCUCAACAUAAAGAAAACAAAAAUCCUCACAACUGGACCAAUGAGCAACAUCAUGAUAAACGGAGAAAAGAUUGAAGUUGUCAAGGAUUUCAUUUUACUUGGAUCCACAAUCAACAGCCAUGGAAGCAGCAGUCAAGAAAUCAAAAGAUGCAUUGCAUUGGGCAAAUCUGCUGCAAAGGACCUCUUUAAAGUGUUGAAGAGCAAAGAUAUCACCCUGAAGACUAAGGUGUGCCUGACCCAAGCCAUGGUAUUUUCAACUGCAUCAUAUGCAUGUGAAAGCUGGACAAUGAGUAAGGAAGACCGAAGAAGAAUUGAUGCCUUUGAAUUGUGGUGUUGGCGAAGAAUAUUGAAUAUACUAUGGACUGCCAAAAGAACGAACAAAUCUGUCUUGGAAGAAGUACAACCAGAAUGCUCCCUAGAGGCAAGAAUGGCGAGACUGGGUCUUACAUACUUUGGACGUGCUGUCAGGAGGGAUCAGUCCCUAGAGAAGGACAUCAUGCUUGGCAGAGUACAGGGUCAGCAGAAAAGAGGAAACCCUCAAUGAGGUGGAUUGACACAGUGGCUGCAACAAUGAGCUCAAGCAUAACAACAAUUGUAAGGAUGGGUCAGGACCUGGAAGUGUUUCGUUCUGUUGUGCACAGGGUCACUAUGAGUUCGAACCAACUCGGCGGCACGUAAGAACAGUGUUACCAUUGAUGAUAUCAGACUUCCCUGAGGAGGAGAUGGAUUCCAAGUGGGGUGUUAUGUUGACCAGGCCUUACAUUUUUUUGCUUACCAGUUGCUGAUGGCAUUUUUAGCCAAAUAAGUUUCUGUAUUCCACUGUUGGUAUUUUGGUUUCUAGCCCCUCUGAAGAAUCUCUAACAAACCAUUAAAAAAUUUUUUUUCCAAUUAUCCAGUUAUUAUUUAUAGUAAUUGAAAGGGAUUUUGAAAAAGAUUCAUCUUCAUCUAUUUUUCUUUGUUAGUGUUUGUUUUUUUUUUACCACAUUCAUUGUUUCAUGUCGAUGUCCACAGAGCCCCCAAAAUACCAAAUCCUUAUCUAUUUUCCAGCAUGACCUACAUAUAAAACGUAAUAACAACAGUAAUAGCUCUUAUGGAUCGAAUUGUGUCUAUAUAUAUAUAUAUAUAUAUAUAUAUAUAUAUACCUGUAAAUAUGAUCUUAUUUGAUAACAGGGUUUUCUUUGUUAUAUAAUUAAGUCAUACCUGAGUGGAGGGUGGGUUCUAAAUCUAGUCACUUCUAAGUUAUAAAAAGAGCAGAAAGAACAUAAAGACACACAUGACUGAAGGCAGACAAUAAGUGAGGGCUGUCUACAAGCCAAGGAAUGUCAAGGAACCAAGAAAGGCCCAGGACUACCAGCAAGGAAGGAAUUGACACGGCUGCGAUCCUGAUUUGGACUUUUAGUCUUCGGAGCUGUGAGGAAGUCAAUUUCUGUUCUUUCAAGCCAUACACUUGUGACAUUUGUGUUACAGCAGCACUAGGUGACUAUGACAUAGCUUUCACUUAGGACCUUACAGCGUGCAGAGCACCAAGCUUUAUAUGGUUUAAUUUUACCACAAUCCCUUGUGUUAGACAGCGUUAUGAUCAUUUUAUAGGCGAGAAAACUCAGUUUUGGAGAGAUUCAUUAACUUGUUCAAAUCACACGCCUAGUAGAUGGUGGAGCCAGGGCUCAAAUCUAUCUAGCCCGUCUGAUUCCAGACCCAAAUUCUGAACCAUUCCUGCUAAUGUGCAGAGUUUGUGAAUACCAGUGAUCUACGGCCUGCAGGCGAAAUGCGGCCCCACACCUGCUUUUUUAUGGUGAGUGAGCACUGCUGGAGCAAGCUCAAAUGAGUCCCCCUUUGCCCCAUUUCCCUUCUGCUUCCAGAGUUUGCCUUCCUACCUGUGGCCACACCUCACAGCUUCCCAGGGCCCCACACUGGGUGCCACCUACAUGUUGGGGACUCCGUUGUUGGUGAUUACUGAACACCCAGCAGGGGAAUCUCAUCUGAGAGUCAGUGAUUCCACAAGUGGCCUAACCUCCAAUGAGCAGCCUCAACUGAUGAGGCCAGGCUCUGGAGGGCAGGGACCUGGGUGUCACUGGGACAGAGUAAAACUGAGCGGGCAGUCACUCAUGCCCUUCCCUGUCCCAGACCCCUCCCCAUCAGGCCCGUCAAUCAUCCUCCUGAGAAUGUCUCCAGCAAACUGGCAACUAGGCACAAAACUGCUAAUCACUUGGGAUGGUCCAACCUAGGCAAAAUGGGGUUUGAUGGUUAAUGUAAUGUGUCAGCCUGUCUAGAACGUGAUCCGCAGUGGUUUGUCAGAUACUAUACAUCAUCUCCAUUUUGUGAUCUGAUGUGAGUGGCCAAUCAGUUGGAAGGGGAGUUUCCUUGGGGAUGUGGUCUUCAUCCAAUAUAUAAAUAGAUGUUCUGGCAAAGCUCAGUCUCUCUCCUCCUCUUGAUCCUGUACUCGUCCCAUCUGACUUCCAAUUCUUGGGAGUGAGAAGCCUUCAGCCUACCACCUGACCUGCAGAUUUUGAAUUUGCCAGCUCCUGCAACCCCAUAGCCUGCUGCCUGACCCACAGAUAUGGGACUUGCCAGCUCCAUAAUUGCAUGAGCCAUUUCCUUGAAGUACCUCUCUCUCUAUAUAUAUUUAUAUAUAUACUUCACUGGUUUUGAUCCUCUAGAAAACCCAGCUUAAAACAUGGAGGGAGGAGGGCAAAAGCAAGAAUGUUCUCUCUUGUUGUAUAAGUGCCUACAUAAUAUCCUUAAUUUUUGCCUCUUGGCCCAAAAAGCCUAAAAUGUUUACUAUCUUUCAUGGCCCGCUCCCUCCCAAUUGAUGCCCUAAUCUAACAAAACAGGUACUACAAGGUUGGAAACUCCAUUUGUAUUGUAAUUUAGACCCUCACAGGAUUAGACUUUGGAUUUGGCUUCCCUGAGCCUGUAGGAGAUAGGGCUUCUUUCAGGGAAGUCAGUCUUUCAGGACCUUGAGGUGAGAAUUUGAAGUCUUGAGUUCAUCAUUUUUCUUCCCAAGUUCUCCGGCCCACUUAGAAGCAAACAACCACCCCCAUGAUACUCCUUAUUUUCAUUAAAAUGUUCUAUGGCCUGAAAUACUUGGUCACUCAGAGUCUUGCCUCCUAUAGGCUCUUUUUUUUUUUUUAAAGGUAAUAAUGGCCAUGCAGGCUAUGAAGUUUCAGUGUUCACUUUACCUCUGAAACAGUCUCAUUAAUGCCUGUAAUGUCUUAGAAGUCUUAGAAGAAAUAAAAAAAAAAAAAACCCAGUGCCGUCGAGUCGAUUCCGACUCAUAGCGACCCUGUAGGACAGAGUAGAACUGCCCCACAUAGCUUCCAAGGAGCACCUAGCAGAUUCAAACUGCCGACCCUUUGGUUAGCAGCUGUAGCACUUAACCACUACACCACCAGGGUUUCCCUUAGAAGAAAUACAAACAGAAUAUUUCUCAGAAGCGAGGAUAGCGAGACUUCUACUGGAUUACUUUGGACAAAAAAUCAGGAAAGACCGAUCACUGCAAGAAGACAUCAUGUUUGGUAAAGUAGACGGCUGAUGAAAGCAAGCGAAACCCCUGAAUUAGAUGGAUUAACAUAAUAGCUGCAGCAAUGAACUCAAACCUACCAACGAUCAUGAAGAUGGUGCAGGACCGGGAACUGCUUUGUUCUGUUAUACAUAAGGUCGCUAUGAAUCAGAGCUGAUUCCGCAACCACAAAACCACCACCAACAACAAUGUUGUUAAAUCUAAUCAUAUUGGAGAGCCAAUUUCGGAUAAGCCAGAACCAAUUUAGAGAAAUCAUACUUAACAUUCUGCUGCUCUGGAACCACUCUCAGUACCAGACUCUGUACCAGUCAUAGAAGCAGAAACUCUAGGAGAUGCAGACAGGUUAUAUAUGCAGGCCGUGCUGCUGCCCCAUGCCAACAAGAGAUGCGACAGUGUGUGUGAGCUGCAGCAGUGCCUGAUGCCCCUGCACCAACCUUCCAAGCAUGAAAACAGAAAGACUGCUGCUUUGCUGCUGGCUUCCAAAUCUUGGCAAAAUGUCUGUUGAGGUCACCCUAACCGGAAACAGGCAGGGAAGGGAAUUCAGGGGAACAUAGUUCAGCAUGGUCAUAUAAAAAAAAAAAAAACAGACACGUUAAAAACUUGAUUUCUCUAGAUUGUGCCUGGCUACAACCGAUGACUGCCCUGACAGGGAACACAACAGAGAACCCCUGAGGGAGCAGGAGGACAGUGGGAUGCAGACCCCAAAUUCUCAUAAAAAGACCAGACUUAAUGGUCUGACUGAGACUAGAGGGACCCCGGAGGUCAUGGUCCCCAGACCUUCUGUUAGCCCAAGACUGGAACCAUUUCUGAAGCCAACUCUUCAGACAGGAAUUGGGCUGGGCUAUAAGAUAGAAAAUUAUAUCGGUUAAGGAGUAAGCUUCUCGGUUCAGGUAGACACAUGAGACUAUGUGGGCAGCUUCUGUCUGGAGGCUAGAUAAAAACGCAGAGGGGGACAGGAGCUGGCUGAAUGGACACAGGAAAUACAGGGCGAGAGCAGCAAGGAGUACAUGCAAGGUUUGUAUAACUUUUUGUAAGAGAGACUGACUUGAUUUGUAAACUUUCACUUAAAGCACAAUAAAUAACAAUAAAAAAAACUUGAUUUCUCUGCAAUGUGUGGCUAAUUGCCUCCAUGAACAACUGUCUCUUUUGCCAUGAGACCAGAAGAACUGGUUGGUGCCCAGCUACCAUCACUGAACAUUUUGAUCAAAAAUUCCGUAGAAGAAUCCUGAUGAAAAUGGGGAAAUUGCAGAACACUCUUCCAAGUUCUCAUGGACUUCAGAUUUCCUGGAGCCAUGGAAACUGGAUGAAGCCCUAAAACUUUUGAGCUGAGAUAAUCUUUAAACCUUAAACCAAAAAUAUCCCCUUUCUUUAAACCUUGAACCAAAAAUAUCCACUUAAGUCUCACUUGAAUAAAAUUGUAAGAUCAGCACAGAAGCCUGUUAUGUCCCCCAUGCUCUGCCCACUUCUCCUUAGGCCUCAUCCCUGCCUCUCUCCUGUUUUCUCUCAGCCCUAGCUAUACUCUCCUUCUUGUUCCUUCAACACACCGAGCAGGCACCCACCUCAGGGCCUUUGUACUUACUGUUUCCUAUACCUAGAAUGCCGCUUGGUACCUGCAUGGCUUGUUUGCACAUCAAUAAUGUCCUGCCCGGUCGCUCUCUAUCUCCUUUACUCUGCUUUAUUUUCUUUCAUAGUUCUUGUCAUCAUUGAACAUAUUGCAUUUUUUGUUCGUUUACUGCCUGUCUCCCCCUCUUCUGGAGGAGCCCUGGUGAUGCAGUGGUUAAGUACUCGGCUGUUAAAUGAAAAUUUGGUGGUUAGAACCACCAGAAGCUUCACAGGAGAAAGACCUGGCAAUCUGCUCCCAUGAAGAUUAUAGCCUAGGGGAAGCUCUCCUCUGUCAUGUAGCGUCAUUAUGAGUCAAAAAUUGACCUGAAGGCACCCAACAACAACAACAAACUGCAAGGGGCAGGAGUGGCUCAGAUGGCAGACUUAGGAGACAGUGGGUAUGGGAGGCUGUUGUCGUCAGGUAUGGAUUUUUUUAAAAUACUAUAAUUGACCCUUCAUUAGGAGAGUUCUCCCAAUUGACUUCAGUUCACAGAUGGGAGGCUCCAGACACCCAGCACAGACUGUCAUUUUGGCAAGGCUGACUCCAAAUAUUUACCUCCCGUCUACAUGUCUUCCCUUGGAACACCUGGAGUUUUUCUGUCUUAGGGUGUGACAAAGUAAUUGAGUCAGUUGUUGUUAGGGGACAUCGAGUCAGUUCCAACUCACAGUGACCCUCUGUACAACAGAACGAAACUCUGCCCAGUCCUGCGCCAUCUUCACAAUCAUUGUUAUGCUUAAGUCCAUUGUUGCAGCCACUGUGUCAAUUCGUCUCAUUGAGGGUCUUCCUCUUUUUCACUGACCUUGUGCUUUACCAAGCGUGAUGUCCUUCUCCAGGGACUGGUCCCUCCUGACAACAUGUUCAAAGUAUAUGAGACGUAGUCUUCCCAUCCUUGCUUCUAAGGAGCAAUCUGGUCAUACUUCUUCCAAGACAGAUUUGUUCUUUCUUUUGGCAGUCCAUGGUGUAUUCAAUAUUCUUUUCCAGCACCACAAUUCGAAGGAGUCAAUUCUUCUCCGGUCUUCCUUGUUCAUCGUCCAGCUUUUGCAUACAUAUGAGACAAUUGAAAACACCUUGGCUUAGGUCAGGCGCAACUUUGUCUUCAAGGUGACAUCUUUGCUUUUCAACACUUUAAAGAGGCCAUUUGCAGCAGAUUUACCCAAUGCAAUGCAUCUUUUGAUUUUCUGUCUGCUGCUUCAGUGGGUGUUGAUUGUGGAUCCUUGACAACUUCAUUCUUUUCUCCAUUUAUCAUGAUGUUGCUCAUUGGUCCAGUUGUGAGGAUUUUUGUUUUCUUUAUUUUGAGGUGCAAUCCAUACCGAAGGCUGUGGUCUUUGAUCUUCAUCAGUAAGUGCUUCAAGUCCUCUUCACUUUCAGCAAGCAAGGUUGUGUCAUCUGCAUAAUGCAGAUUGUUAACGAGUCUUCCUCCAAUCCUGAUGCCCCAGUGUUCUUCAUACAGUCCAGCUUCUCGGAUUAUUUGCUCAGCACACAGAUCGAAUAGGUAUGGUGAAAGGAUACAACACAGAUGUACAUCUCUCCUGUCUUUAAACUACGCAGUAUCCCUUUGUUCUGUUCAAACGACUACCUCUUGCUCUAUGUACAGGUUCUUCGUGAGGCAGCUCUUCCGCAGCUGUGUUUUGAGUGCCUUCCAACUUGAGGGGCUCAUCUUCCAGCAUGAUAUCAGACAAUGUUCCACUGCUAUUCAUGAGGGUUUCACUGGCUAAUUCUUUUCAGAAGUAGACCACCAGGUCCUUCAUCCUAGUCUGUCUUAGUCUGGAAGUUCAGCUGAAACCUGCCUGCCAUGGGUAAUCCUGCUGGUAUUUGAAUGGCUGUGGCAUAGCUUCCAGCAUCACAGCAACACUCAAGCCCCCACAGUAUGACAAACUGACAGAUGCAUCAGGGAGUUGAGUCUAAAUUCUACCAAAUACUGUUUUCUGGGGACAUCACUUUGCCUGGGAACAUUUUUAAUAUGUGAAAAUGCUGUCGUAAUCUCCUGGGUCCCAUCAGGCCUGAGGCCCUGAUGGACCCACAGCCAUUCUGGGCAAAGCUGUCUGAGCCUGGAGUUACUGAAGAAACUCCAGCUUUAUCCAGUCAUCAAGGACCUCUCUGAGUGACUCUGAGAAUAACGUAAAAUUGAGGGGGAAUUUAUUUGAACUUUAGUUUUACUUAAGAAUUUUGAACUUUAAUUCACAAGGGCAGGAUAAUUUGAUAUUGCACUCUUAAUUUCUUUAGAUUUUAACUUAAAAAUGUCUGAACUUAGGUUCUUUGGACUGAAUUAAGCAAAUUAAUUUUUAGGACUUUAAUUUUUCCCCGGGAAUUUGAUAAUGGCAGGAGUGUUUGUAUCCAAAAUUGGGUUCACUCUAUUUGUUUGUAUUUUAUUAUCAAAACAUGUUCUUGCUGUCAUUUCAUUUUAUUGCAGAUCCAGUGAUGGGCAUCGUGAGGCAGUGUGGCUGGACAAAAUUUCAGAUGGGAAACAGAAUAAGGAGUGUACAACUUGACCUUGGAGCGUGCGACAGGUUGUAUUUUAUAAAAAGGGCCCUGCAACGCUACUUCCUAUCCCAUGUGCUCUUCCAGAACCCUCCACUCUCCCACUAAGACUUGGACUCUACAUCCCCUCCCCUUCAGCCUGGCUGAGUCUUUGUGACUAGUACAGUGGAAGUGGUGCUGUGUGACUUCCCAGGCUAGGUCAUAAAAGACACACCGCUCCUGCCUGUUUCUGUCUUUGUUUUGAUAUGAACUUUUGGAGCCCUGAGCCACCAUGUAAAAAGCCUGGCUGCACUGAAGCCACCAUGCUGGAAGACCACAAGGGACAAGUCACAAGAGGUAGAGAGAGAUGCCUGAGAAGCCUCAGCUGGGCUUUCAAGAUGGCAGCUGCACCUACAUUCAACGAAAGAAGAAGAAAGUCUUGCUGCUCCCUUUUUAAGGAAAGCAAAAGUUUUUCUAGAAACACCGCAGGAUUAUGGCUUACAUCUCAUUGGCCAGAACCAUGUCUCUUGAUCACCCCUAGCUGCAAGGGAGGCUGGGAAAGCAAAUAUUUAGCUGGCCACAUUGCUGCUCGGAAUAAACUUAAGGUUCUAUUAGGAAGGAAGAAAUGGGAUAGAUUUGAGGUAGACAAUAAAAAAAUGUGUCUGCUACAGUCAUAAUUUUUGCUCUUAGAUGCCCUCUUAGGACUUAGAAUAAAACCUAUAUUAAAAAAAAAAAAGGCACUAAAAAUAUUUAUUAACUGAGAAGGUAGGAACAGAAACAAAACUUGAGUUAAUCUAUUGUGCCCUGAAAGAUUCUCUCAUCAGAAGGCAAUGCUGAGUUUUUUCUAAUUUCCAUAUGAUUCCUCUCUGUCCACUUGGAUAAUAGCACCAGCUGUCACUAACUGAGUGCUUACUAUGUGCUGGGCACUAAUAUAGUUACCUUGUUUGUACUAACUUUAAUCCUUAACACAGCUGUGUGAAAUAGGUUUUAUUGUUAUCCUAUAUUAUAAAUAAGGAAACUGAGGUACAGGAAGCUUAAGUAACUUAAUUUUAAUAUAGCUAGAAAUUGGCAACACUGGGUAAGAAAUAGGGUUGCCAGAGUUAGCAAAUAAAAAUGCAGUUUGCCCAGUUAAAUUUAAGGUUCAAAUACACAAGAAAGAAUUUUUUAAAAUAGGUAUGUUGCCUUUAUUAAAUGAGGACAUACCUACGCUAAAAAAACUAUUCCUUGUUUGUCCAAAAUACACAUUUAACUGAGUAUCCUAUAUUUUAUCUGGUAACCCUGGUUAAUGACUCAGGCAAUAUGACUUCAGAGCCUGUUCUCUUAACCACAACCCCAUACUGCCUUUCCUGAUGUAUGAGUUUAAUCUUCAUUUUAUUAUAACCCAUGAUUAUCCUCUGUGUUUACUUGUUUACCUAUUGUAGUACCCAUGUUCCUCUCUAGAAUAUAAGCUGUAAGAGGGCAGGGACCUAUCCGUCUAGUUUACUAGUGAAUCUCCUCUGUGCCCAGAAUAGUACUUAGCACAAAAUUGAUGCCCAAUAACAAGUUGUUAAAGAAACAAUGCUCUGUAGCAUUGACUGGCUUGGACGUGGAAAGCCAGAUGUCAGAUAUUCCAGUACCUUCCUGUGGUGGCCCUCCAACAUGCACACAACCUUGUUAAAGACAAGAGUAGCCGUGAACUUGCUUUGGUCAGUGAACCGUGAAUGGAAGUAAUUUGUGAUGUUAAAAGGUGGCAUAUGAUUCUCCAUGUUCUUUUUUUCCUCUGCCACAUGGCUGGAAAUGUUGUUCAGAUAGAAACUCUCCACCAUCUUGGGUCCUGGAGUGAAGACAAUGUGGAGCAGAAGUGAGCCAACCGUUGAUAGACAUGUGGUUGUGUAGGAGCUUGGCUGGCGAAAGUCAUUUGAGAGGAGCGGCUAAUCUAAAGUUUUGCAGUUCAAACCCACCCAGCACUUCCGGGGAAGAAAGCACCGGUGAACUGCUUCUGUGAAGGUCACGGCCAAGGAAACCUUAGAGCUAUUGUACUCUGUAACACACGGGGUCUCCACGAGUCAGAAUCAACUCAAUGGUAAUGAGUUCGUUUGUUUCAAUAGUUUACUCCUUACUGAACCUCCAGAGUGUAGUACAAUGCCUAGCCUUCAGUGAGCCAUCAGUACACAUUUCUGACGAAUGAAGUGACCUCUAAGUUGGAUCCUGAAGAUGAAUAAGAGUUGGCUAGGGAAAGGGUUGGGGAGAGAAGAGAAAAUCUGUAUAGUGGGAACAGCACGUGCAAAGGCCAGGGAGGAGAGAGAGCAGAAAAUUACAGCAGAUGGUUUAAUAUGACUAGCGGGUCAGUUUGGGUCCUCUCAGAAGCAGAAGCCAAGAAAGGAUUAGACAGGCAAGGGAUUUACUGGGUGAAAAUUCCCCUGAAGGCUAAAGGGGAAGGAGCAGGAGUAGGCAAGGGGAGCAUUCAGUGCAGAUCUGACUCCUGUGAAGGAGAAGGAGAAGAAAGGAGGACAAGGUAGGAAGAGCAGACUGCAGUGCAGUUCCAAGAACGUUUCAGCCAGGGCAAAAGAGUCCCUGAACCAAAGUUGUCCAUGAAAGGAAGCCCCCAUUGGGCAGGAAUGGCCUCAACUAGCACCCUGCUCAGUCUUUGGCUGGGAGUAGCUUAGGGGACUUAGGUUCUCGGUGUGAACACAACGGUGGGUCCAGAGGGGAAGCUGAGGCUGCUAGUUAACUAUGCCUCUUGCACAGGAGAUUCUAGUGGUGCAUUUCCAUCACUGCCAGAGCAAGCAGAGGACAAAGGAGGAGGUGAGAGGUGAGUCGGAGAGCUAAGCUGGGGCCAGGUCACAAACAGUCCUCCAGGCCAUAGUUUAGAGCUGGAUUUUAUCCUGAGGGCAAUGAGUGCAGUUUCCUAUCAGCAAGACUGGGUUUGCAUAUCAGACGGAUCACUUGGCUGCAGUGUGGAAUAUGGAAAUCAGAGCCUGGGAGAGACCAGAGUAGUAUCAAGCCAUCAGGGCCUUAGUGGUCAAAGUAUAACACCCCCUUCUACCUUCAUCUUUGUUCAGAAGCAGUUUGAGAGAUAGACACAGGAGUCCUACUCAGGGAGGUCAGGCAUUGCCUUUAUGACUUACCGACAGAGCUGUUGGAGAAGGUGCCUUAGUCAUGAGGGCCAAGUGGGCUUCCUGGCAUUCCCUGUCCAAUUAUUUCCUAGACCUGGGGACAGCACCCCAAGACCAGCUUGAGUCUCCUCUGCAGAAUUGCUGCCUCACUCUGCUAUGGGGUGAGGAAGAAAGAAGAGAUUGAAUCCCCAGCAUCUAUUAGGGUCUUUUCAUUGUGUAGCUCCACCCAGUAGAGAAGCACAGACCCCCCUCCCCAAUCACCUGAGGGGAGAAGUAAAUGUGGGGGGAGGGCAUGGGUGUUAAUUUUAGAAGUGUGAGGGUGGGAGUUAAGUGUUCUCACUGUCACAGGUGAGAGAUGACAGUGGCCUGGACAGGGAUGAUGGUGUUGGAGUUGGAGAGAGGAAGACUGUUACGGAUUGAAUUGUGUCCCCCCAAAAAUAUGUGUAUCAAUUUGGCUACACCAUGAUUCCCAGUAUUGUGUGAUUGCCCACCAUUUUGCCAUCUGAUGUGAUUUUUCUAGGUGUUGUAAAUCCUAUCUCUAUGACGUUAAUGAGAUGAAAUUAGUGGCAGUUAUGUUAAUGAGGCUGGACUCAAUCUACAAGAUUAGAUUGUGUUUUAAACCAAUGUCUUUUGGAAUAUAAAAGACAGAAGUGAGCAGAGAGACAUAGGGACCUCCUACCACCAAGAAAGGGGACAGGGAGCACAACGUGUCCUUUGGACCCAGGGUCCCUGCGCGGAGAAGCUCCUAGACCAGGGGAAUAUUGAUGACAAGGAUCUUCCCCCAGAGCUGACAGAGGGAGAAAGCCUUCGCCCCAGAGCAGCCACUCUGAAUUUUGACCUCUAGCCUUUUAGACUGUGAGAGAAUAAAUUUGUUUGUUAAAACCAUCCACUUCUGGUAUUUCUGUUACAAUAGCACUAGAUGACUAACACAAGGACAGAGAGGAGAAUUGCCAGGACUCAGUAAUUGACUGGAUGGUGAGGGGGAAAGGUGACGGUUCUGACAGAAAGCGAAAGGACAGGGCAAAGAUUUUUGACUUGCAUACUAGGCGAAUGGUAGGGUCAUUUCAUUCUACUUCCAGCCCACUUCUAGCCUACUGAGUACCUUUGUGACAAUUAGAAACGGGGUAGGGGGGCAGUCUAGAAAGACACAGCCAUUGCCAAGUCAAGGGCCUAGUGAGUGGAAUGGGUUGGAUUCGUCUCCCGUACUCCCUCUGAGUUGGGUGCCUUUGUGCUUGGGCUAGUCUGCACAGCCAUAUGCAGGACCUUGUGCCACACACUGUUGGGGGAAUGAUGAGCUGAGUUUUAAGCAUGUUGGGUUUAAGGUAUCUGAAGGUAACAUUGAGAUUAAGAGUCUUUUUUUUUUAAUUAUUAUUGUGGUGAAAUCCACAGGACAUAAAAUUAACCACUUUCUACAAUUCAGUGGCAUUUAGUACCUUUACCGUGUUGUAAAACUAUUACCUGUAUCGAGUUCCAAACAUUUUCAUCACCCACAAAGGAAACUCCAUACCCAUUAAGGAAUUUCUCCUCACUCUGUCCUUCCCCCAGCCCUGGCAACCACUGUCUUUAUGGAUUUACCUCUUCUGAAAGGAUCAUAUAAAUGGAGCCAUUUAACAUGUGGCCUUUUGUUCCUGGCCUCUUUCACUUAGCAUAUGUUUGUUUCUUUUGAAGACUGGGGAGAUGGUGGAAAGGAGCCGGUAGAAAAAGGAGAAGUUGAAAAUGCAGAAGAGGAAGAGGGGUAUCAGAAUGAGCGCCAGUGUGUCCCUGAGAAGGGAAGUUGGUGGGGAUGGGUAAGGAGGAGCACAGGAUAAACACCCCUUACACCAGUGAAGGGACACCUCCCAUUGAGGGAUGGAGGAGGGUAUGGAGCAGAUACAUACAUGAUUAUAAUUAUAGGUUUGGUGGCAGGGAGUUGAGGGGAUUUCCAUUAGAUAGUUUGUAUUGUCUCUGUGAAGUAAGGGGUUGACCACAUAUUGAGAGGAAGAGAAGAGGUAGUGGGGUUGGAUGUUUGAAGAGAGUGAAGAUUAUUGAAAAUAACUGCUGUGGAGAAAGGAAAAAAUCUUGCCAGGGAAAUAGGGUGCAAUUUCCAGCCAAUGUUGAGGGCCUGGGUGAGGUUGGAGUCAGUGAAUUCAUAGUGAUCCUAACCUUUAGUGUUAUCUAAUUUUACUGCCAAUCUCAAACAGCCUGGACAUGAGUGGUAUUUACAUGUAAUAUUUGGAGCUAUGGCAGCCAUUCUGUGACUGUGAGGACAUAAGCAUAAGGACUAAGCCAACACACGUAGGAUAGCAAAGCAGAAAUUGUUGGUACCCUCCAGUCUGUUUUGCACAUAAUAACCAGGAUGACUACAUAGACCAGGAGGCAGCCAUUCAAAAGAACAGGGGGAUACUGAGUUGUUUAAAGUCAGAAAAGGUGUGCGUCAGGGUUGUAUCCUUUCUCCAUACUUACUCAAACUGUAUGCUGAGCUAAUAAUCUGAGAAGGUGGACUAUAUGAAGAACUCGGCAUCAGAAUUGGAAGAAGACUCAACAACCUGUGAUAUUCAGAUGAUACAACCUUGCUUGCUGAAAGUGAAGAGAACUUGAAGCACUUACUGGUGAAGAUCAAAGACCACAGCCUUCAGUAUGGAUUACACCUCAACAUAAAAAAAAAAAAAAAAUCCUCACAACUAGACCAAUAAGCAACAUCAUGAUAAAUGGAGAAAACAUUGAAAUUGUCAAGAAUUUCAUUUUACUUGGAUCCACAAUCAAUACCCAUGGAAGCAGCAGUCAAGAAAUCAAACGACACAUUGCAUUGGGCAAAUCUGCUACAAAAUACCUCUUUAAAGUGUUGAAAAGCAAAGAAGUCACUUUAAGGACUAAGGUGCACCUGACCCAAGCCAUGCUGUUUUCAGUCACCUCAUACGUGUGUGAAAACUGGACAGUGAGUAAGGAAGACCAAAGAAGAAUUGGCGGGUUUGAAUUACGGUGCAGGCAAAGAAUACUGAAUAUGCUAUGGACUGCCAGAAGAACGAACAAGUCUGUUCAUUCAGAAGUACAGCCGGAAUGCUCUUAGAAGCGAGCAUGGUGAGAAUUCUUUUCACAUGCUUUGGACAUGUUAUCAAGAGGGACCAGUCCCUGGAGAAGGACAUCAUGGUUGGUAAAGUAGAGGGUUAUCAAAAAAGAGGAAGACCCUCAACAAGAUGCAUUGACACAGUGGCUGCAACAAUGGGCUCAAGCAUUACAAUUGUGAGGAUGGCACAGGACCAACCAGCAUUUCGUUCUUUUGUACAUAGGCUUGCUCUGAGAUGGACUGCAACUAACAACAAAUCUUUACGGAAGCAGACCACCACAUCUUUCUCCCGUAUUCAUUACUGUAUUCCUUGGUAUUUUCUUACCAAUAGGACCCCAGUUUGGGGACCCCAGGUUGCCCAAGAGCUCAGCUACAAGAUUUGAUUUUUCUCAGUUCCCUCACAGCUAAUAGUGGCCAUGCAUCAGAGUUUUGGCCAGCAAAAUGUGAGGGGACAUUUACUAAACGGGCUUCCAGAAGGAUGUUGUUUUCCUGGGAGAAAGAAAAAGACUCAGCUGGUUUGCAUCCUUUGUCUUUUGUUCUGUUCUUCCUCCUCCCUAAGACUCAGAUUUGAUACCUGGAAGUGAAGCAGUGAACAUAUGACCAUGAACACAAAAGCCACAUGCUAAGAAUGGUGACUAAGUUGCACCUGACCCAAGCCAUGAUAUUUUCAAUUGCCUCAUAUGCAUGCAAAAGUUGGGCAGUGAAUAAGGAAGACUGAAGGACUGAUGACUUUGAAUUAAGGUGUUGGUGAAGAAUACUGAAUAUACCAUGGACUGCCGGAAGAACGAACAAUCUGUCUUAGAAGCACAGCCAGAAUGCUCCUUAGAAGCAAGGAUGGCAAGACUUUGUCUCACAUACUUUGGACAUGUUAUCGGGAGGGACCAGUCCCUGGAGAAGGAGAUUAUGCUUAGUAGAGGAUCAUCAAAAGAGAGGAAGACCCUCAAGGAGAUCCACUGAUACAGUGGCUGUAACAAUGGGCUCAAACAUAACAACAAUUGUGAGCGUGGCGCAGGACCAGGCAAUGUUUCAUUCUGUUGUACAUAGAGUUGUUAUGAGCUGGAACCAACUCGACGGCCCCUUACAACAAGAAGUCAGGAUGACCCUGUUCAUAAGUCAGAUCUUAUUGUUCCUCUGCUCAAAGCCCUCCAGUGGCUUCCCUCCUCUCCAAAGAAUAAAAUUGCAAGUCCAGGAUGUCCGCUGCAUGACCCAACAACUCUCCUGGGGGUUGCUAGCCAACAAGUUUAAGGGGCCAGUUGUUCCACAUUUCUCAGGGUUGUUGGGGCUGCAAAGGGCCUAAUAAGCCCCAUGCUCUGGCCCCUGCUGUCUAUCUGACUACCUCUUCCAUGCUCCCCUUCCCUCGAUCCCUCUACAUCAGCUUCCCUUCUGACCCUUGAAUCUGCCCAGCAUAUGCCAGCCUCAGACCUUUGACCUUCUUGUUUCCUCUGCCUGGGAUGCUGUCAUCCAGAUGUAUUCCUGUCUUGUUCUCUUGUUUCCUCCAGUUCUGUCAAAUGUCACCACAGCAGAGACACAUCCUCUGACCACACUUUUUCUAAAUACAUGCCCACCUUCCUCACUUUCUCCCCUUUUCCUGUCCUCGGAGCAUGGAUCAGCACCUUUCACUCUAUGGACUUAUCUGUUUAUCCUCUCCCAGGCCACACACAUUAGAAGGUGUGCUUCCUGGGAGCAGAUGCCCUGUUCCAUCCUUAGCAUCCAGAACAGUGCCUGGCACUGAAUAGGUGUUCAAUAUAUCUUUGUUGAAUGAAUGAAGUCAUUAAAGCAAAGAGCCAGUGUCCCAGAUAACAUUAAUGAGCCCCUAAACUGACCCUGGAGCCGCCCAGCCCCAGACUUCCUCUUCUGUGUAAUAAUAAACCCACAGCGUUUCACUCUUCCUAUUUGCUGGGUCAGCCCAUCUGCCGCUUGACUGGUGUUUUUCUUCUUUUUACCACAUCUUGUCCAAUUUUUCUUACAAACUCAUUAUUAUUCCUUAAUCUUGCCACUCCUUUUCUUUUCUCUUCCUGCUUCCCGUUCUUUCUUCCCCUUUCCGUCCAGCAUUUUGCUCAUGUGACUGCCACUUUGGGGUGCUAGCUUUGGCAUAUUGGGGGGAGGAGGAAGCGCCGACUUGAGCAACUGAAAAGGACCUCAGACCUUUCCUGACCAUUCAAGUUCCCCUUGAGGUACAGCCAGGGAGGAGCAGCAUUUUCCUGGUUUAGGGCAGAGGAAUAGGGUGUCCCCUGCACGAUCCAGCACUUCUCCUGGGAUUGCCAGGCAAUGAGCUAUACAGACCAGCGGCCCCCAUCCCUCAGGGCAGGGACUGCAGGUGGCCUCCAGGUGCUCUUGGCCUGGGUGGCUGGCAUUCCUGCCCUGGCAUGCAGCUCCCCUUAGCAGCUAGUGCCCCACCUCGGGCAGUGCCCACUUGCAGUGCCAUUAUCAUGGGAGCCCUAUAAAGAGGGAGAGCCAUGGAGGGCAGUGUCCCUCUCUGGAGCACUUUCUAUGAUGUGUCCAACUGGGCCCUGACCAAGCACAUGUCUUUGUGGGAUGCUGAGACACCAGGAAACCCAUUCAACCUUCCAGGCAGUUCAAGCCUCUGUGUUCAAGCCUGCACCAUGUGACUCACUGGGGUUUACCUGAGUCCUUUGCUCCACCAGGAGAACAGGGUGCUAUGUGACUGAAGAGCCAGGUUUGAGCCUCUCUGAGCCGAAGCAGGUCACAGAAAGCGAGAAAGUUGCCAACCGCAGGGGCGUAGGGGAAGGCAGCCAAGGUUGAGAGCAGGGCCAGGGCACUGUGAGGCCUGCUGCUGGCCCUGCUGAACCAGAGUGGACGCCCUAGGCAGAACUCACCUGUCUCACUGUGGCCUGGCCUGGCUGGCUGCCUGGCCCGUGCUCCACAGAGAAAGUAAAAGUAGAAAUCUAGCCCUUAACCUUAGCAGAUCACGUACAUGGCAGCCCACGAGCUUGGUUUCAGCAAGAGCCAAGUCUCAUUUCGUCUCAUCCAGGACAAACCUGGUGUUUUAAGAACUCCCUGACCCCAUGUGUAUGAGUUUCCUGGAGCUGCUGUAACAAAUCACCACAAAUUGGGUGACUGAAAACCACAGAAAUUUAUUUUAUCACAGUUCUAUCUGGGUGUUUUUUUUGUUUUUUUUUAGAGGUCAGAAGUCUGAAUUCAAGGUGUCAGUCAAUAGGGCCAUUCUUUCUCCAAAAACUCUAGGGGGAGAUCUUUCCUUGUCUCUUCCAGCUUCUGGGGGCCCUGGUGUUCCUUGGCUUGUGGUACCAUCACUCUAACCUCUGCUUCUAUCUUCUCAUGGCUGCUGCUCUCUGUGCUUCUUCUGUCUAUAAGGACACCAAUUGUGUUCAAUUAGGGCCCACCCUACUCCAGUAUGAGCUCAUGUUAACUAAUUACAUCUGCAAAGACGCACACUAUUUCUACAUAAGGUUACAUUCAUAGGUACCAGGGUUAGGGCUUCAACAAAUUUUUUUUUUUUUGUGGGGGGAGAGCCACAAAUCGACCCAUAACACCAGGUAUUCCAGUUGGAGACUGGGUUUGGUUGUAAAUAACAGGAACUUGAAAAAUAAUGACUUCAACAAAUCUAGGGUUUAGUCUUUCCAAUGCACAAGUCUAAACUAGAGAGAUGCAGGGCAGUGCAGGCCUAGUGGCUCCCUCAUAAUCUCGAAGGCCCUGGCUCCUCUGUCUUUCUGCUCCACCAUCCUGAAUGUGUGGCCUUGUUCUCAUGCCCCAAGGAUGGCUGCACGCCCUCCAGCAUUUUGUCCACCAUCCAGGAAGCCACAUGGCAACAGAGAUUUCUCAGAAAUCCCACUCAGUGACUUUAAUUUACAUCUCAUUGGGCAGAACGGUGUCACCCCUAACUGCAAAGCAGACCGCGCACACUGCUGCUGCUGCUCAAACAAAGCCACGGUCAUUCUGUUAAUAAGGAAGUGGGUUAGAAGAGAUCACAUACAGGGCAACAAUUUUCAAACUUCAGCGUGUAUCACAAUCACCUGGAGCGCUUGCUAAAACUCAAAGAUUUUGCUCUUCUCUUCCUCUCCCUCCACCCCUUCCAGUUUUCCAAUUGGUGACCAGGGACCAUACUUUGAGAAUCGGCAGCCAGCAGUGCCUCCCACCACAGGCUGUAUCACAAACUUGUGCUAUGCCUCUGUGAAGUAUGCAAGAGUGGUGGGGAGUUUGCCACUGACCAGUGACUAUUUAUGGAGUGGUAGCCAUUGACCUCAGAGACAACCUCAGUGUGGCUAAGGUAUCACCUAGUUUGGCUUUACUCUCCCUGCAACCCUCUCACUUCCAACAGCCCUCCCACCUUCAUCUUUAGCAUACAUGGGACAGGCUUCAGAACCUUCUGGUGUUUUCACAGACUUUCAGCUGAAAGACCACUGACUCCAACAACCUUUCUGACAGGCAGGUUCUUCUGGAGAAGUGCUGUUUACCUGUCACAGGUGUCUGAAGAAUUCAAAGCUAUCCUUUGUUGUAAGCUUCUAAAGACGUGUGCUUCAUGAGUAUCUACAUGGCCUGCAGGAAGAAGAACCCUUGCCCCUGCCAUCCCAGGUGACAGGUGCCCACCUUGUGCUUUUGAUGAUGAUAUUUCUCUUAAUUGAGGUAUAAUUCACGUAUCAUACAAUUCACCCUUUUAACAUGUACAUUUCAAUAUUUUGUAGUAUAUUCACAGAGUUCUGCAACCAUCACCACUAAUUCUGGAACAUUUUCAUCAUCCUAUAAAGAAAUCCCAACCCUUUAACCAUUAUUCCCCAAUGCCCCAUCUCUUUCCCACCCCGGUCCCUGGCAAUCUACUUUCUGUCUCUAGGACAUGCCCAUCCUGGGCAUUUCAUAUAAAAGGAAUCAUACAAUGUGUGGUCUCUUGGGUCUGGCUUUUUUCCCUUAGCAUAAUGCUUUCAAGGUUCAUUCAUGUCGUAACAUGUAUGAGAACUUGAUUGUGUUUUGUGGCUGAAUAAUGUUCAGUUGUAUGGAUAUAUCACAUUUUGUUUACCCAUUCACCUAUCGAUGGAUGUUUGAGGUGCUUCCACUUUUUUUUGGCUUUUACGACUAAUUCUGCUAUGAGCAUUCAUGUACAAGUUUUUGUGUGGACAUAUGUCUUUAUUUCUCUUGGGUAUAUACCUAGGAGUGGAUUGCGGGGUCAUAUAGUAACUCUGUGUUUAACUUAUUAAGGAGCUGCCAAACUGUGUUCCACAGCAGUUGCAACAUUCUACAAUCCUACCAGCAAUGUAUGAGGGUUCCAAUUUCUCUACAUCCUUGACAACACUUGUUAUUUUCUCUUUUUUAUUAGUGGGUGUGAAGUGGUAUAUCAUUGUGGUUUUGAUAGGUGAUGUUAUUUUUAAAAAGUAUGACAGAAGGAGCCCAUGGAGUGUCUCCAAAUAUUUGAAAGCUUGUAAGUUAUAGGAGAGGACUUAUAAAUGACCGUGAAUCAUAGCCUAAUAAUGUAAUUGUUGUUGUGUACGGUCCAGUCAAUUCCGACUCAUAGCAAUCCUGUAGGACAGAGUAGAACAGCCCCACAGGGUUUCCAUGGACAUAAUCUUUAUGGGAACAAAUCGCCAAGUCUUUUCUCCCAUGGAGCUGCUGGUGGGUUCAAACCCCUGACCUUUCAGUUAGUAGCCAAGCACUUAACCAUUGCACCUCCAGGGCUUCUGGCACAACCACAGGGCCCUGCUAGUCAUUAGGAGGCACCAGUCAGGUCGGUGGAGUGAAUCAUUAGAUUUUUAUGUUGAUCUAAAGAAGGUAUGUUUUUUAAAAAGAGAACAAGCCAAGCCAUCUAGAUUCUCAAAUACCCAGGAAGUAUUUCAGCACCUCCUGCGUAUUCUUCAGAGCCCUGGUGGCACAGUGGUUAAGAGUUCAGGCUGUUAACAAAAAGGUCGGCAGUUCAAAUCCACCAGCCAUUCCCUGGGGCAGUUCUACUUUGUCAAAUAGAGUUGCUAUAAGUUGGAAACGACUGGAUGGCAACGGGUUUGGGUUUUUUGGGGGGUGGGGCAUUUGUGUAUUCUUCAUUAUAAUAGUUAUAUCAUUAAGCUCUACUAUGUGCCAGGCUGCUUGCUAAGUGUCAGAGAUACGAUAGCUCCCAAUUUCCCAGCAGUCCUAGGCGGUAAGCACUGUUACUUCAUCAUUUCUUCUUUUCACUUUAGCUACUGUAUGUUCAAGAGCAAAUUUCAGAGUUUCUCCUGACAUCCAUUUUGGUCCUUUCUUUCUUUCUUAUCUUUUUAAUGACCUUUUGCUUUCUUCAUGUGUGAUGUCCUUGAUGUCACUCCACAACUCAUCUGGCUUUAAGCAUUAGUGUUUGGUGCGUCAAAAGCAUUCUUGAGAUGGUUUCUAAAUUCAGGAGGGAUAUAGUCAAGGUUGUAUUUUGGCUCUCACAGACGUGUUGUAAUUUUCUUGAGCUUCAACUUGAACUGGCAUAUGAGCAAUUGAUGGUUUGUUCCGCAUUUGGCCUCUGGUCUUGUUCUGACUGAUGGUACUGACCUUCUCCGUCGUCUCUUUCCACAGAUGUAGUCGAUUUGAUUCCUGUGUAUUCCAUACAGCGAGGUGCGUGUGUAUAGUUGCUGUUUAUGUUGGUAAAAACUGGUAUUUGCAAUGACUAAGUCAUUGGUCUUGCAUAAAUCUAUCCUUGGAUCUCCAGCACCGUUUCUAUCACCAAUGCCAUAUUUUCCAACUACCGAUCUUUUUUGGUUUCCAACUUUUGCAUUCCAAUCACCAAUAAUUAUCAAUGCAUCUUGAUUGCAUAUUUGAUCAAUUUCAGGCUGCAGAAGCUGCUAAAAAUCUUCAGUUUCUUCAUUUUCGGCCUUAGUGUUUAGUGCAUAAAUUUAAAUAGUAGUCAUAUUAAUUGGUCUUCUUUACAGGGUUAUGAAUAUUAUUCUAUCACUGACCAUGUUGUACUUCAGCAUAGAUCUUGAAAUGAAUGUUCUUUUUGACGAUGAACGUGAUGUUGUUCCUGUUGAGUGUGCCAUUCCCAGCAUAGUAGACCAUAUGAUUGUCUGAUUCAAAAUGGCCAAUACCAGUCCAUUUCAGUUUACUAAUGCCUAGGAUAUCUAUCUUUCAGCAUUCCAUUUCAUUUUUUACAACUUCCAAUUUUCCUAGAUUCAUACUUCAUACAUUCCAAAAUCUGAUUAUUAAUAGAUAUUUGUAACUGUUUCUUCUCAUUUUGAGUCAUACUUCAUUAGCAAAUGAAGGCCCCGAAAGCUUGACUCUAUCCACAUCAUUAAAGUCAACUCUACUUUGAGGAGGCAGCUCUUCCCCAGUUGUAUUUUGAGCGACUUUCAACCUGAGAGGCUCAUCUUCCAGCGCAAUAUCAGACAAUGUUCUGCUGCUAUUCAUAAAGUUUUCACUGACCAGUUUUUUUUUUAAGUAGAUUGGCAGAUCCUUCUUCUUAGUCUAUAAGAAAUGAUGAAGUAUGUAGGCUGAACAGAAGAUUUCAAAGGGCAGCUUGAGAAGACAAAAUAAAGUAUUACAAUGAAAUGUGCAAAGAAAGACCUGCAGUUAGAAAACCAAAACGGAAGAACACGCUCAGCAUUUCUCAAACUGAAAGAACUGAAGAAAAAAUUCAAGCCUCAAGCUGCAUCAUUGAACGAUUCUAUGGGCAAAAUACUGUACAACAAAGGAAGCAUCAGAAGACGGAAGGAAUACACAGUCACUGUACCGAAAGAGUUGGUCGAUGUUCGACCGUCUCAGAAGGUAGGAUAUGAUCAAGAACCAAUGGUACUGAAGGAAGAAGUUCAGGUUGCACUGAAGGCACUGGCAAAAAACAAGGCUCCUGGAAUUACUGGAUUACCAAUUGGGAUGUUUCAACAAAGGGACGUGCCGAACACUAAUGACUAAAGCCAGAUGAGCUGUAGAAUGACAUCAAGGACAUCACACAUGGCCAACCUACUGGAAGAAAUCUUUAUUUGUGCCCAUUCCUAAAAAUGUUAUCCAACAGAAUCAUCAAGUUAUUGAACAAUAUCAUUAAUAUCACACACAAGUAAACUUUUGUUGAAGAUCACUCAAAAGCAGUUGCAACAGUAUACCAAAAGAGAACUGUUGGAAAUUCAAGCCAGAUUAAGAAGAGAACGUGAAACAAGGGAUAUCAUUGGUGAUGUCAGAUGGAUCCUGACUGAAAGCAGGGAAUACCAGAAAGAUGUUUGCUGUGUUUUAUUGACUAUGCAAAGGCAUUUGACAGUGUAGAUCAUGAUAAAUUAUGGAUAACAUUGUAAAGAAUGGGAAUUCCAGAACACUUAAUUGUGCUCGUGCGGAACCUGUGCACAGACCAAGAGGCAGUCGGUCAAAUAGAACAAGAGGAUACUACAUGAUUGAAAAUCAAGAAAGGUGUGCAUUAGGGUUGUGUCCUUUCACCAUAAUUAUUUAACCUGUAUGCAGAGCUAAUAAUGUGAGAAAUUGGACUAUAUGAAGAACUUGGCAUCAGGACUGGAGGAAGACUCAUUUACAACCUGCAAUAUGCAGAUGACAUAACCUUGCUUACUGAAAGUGAAGAGGACUUAAAGCACUAACUGAUGAAGAUCAAAGAUUACAACCUUCAGUAUGGAUUACGCCUCAACAUAAAGAAAACAAAAAUCCUCAGAAUUGGACCAGUAAGCAAUAUCAUGAUAAACAGAGAAAAGAUUGAAGUUGUCAAGGAUUUCAUUUUACUUGGAUCCACAAUCAACACCCAUGGAAGUAAAAAAAAAAAAAAUUUUUUUUUUUUCAUGGAAGUAGCAGUUAAGAAAUCAGACAACACAUUGCACUGGGCAAAUCUGCUACAAAAUACCGUUAAAGUGUUGAAUAGCAAAGAAGUCACUUUGAGGACCAAGGGGUGCCUGACCCAAACCAUGUUCUUUUCAGUUGCCUCAUAUGCCUUCAAAAGCUGAACAAUGAAUAAGGAAGAUCAAAGAAGAAUUGGUGCCUUUGAAUUACAGUGUUGCCAAAGAAUAUUGAAUAUACCAUGGACUGCCAGAAGAACGAACAAGCCUGCCUUGGAAGAAGUAGAGCCAGAAUACUCCUUUGAAGCAGGGAUGGCAAGACUUCAUCUCAUGUACUUUGGGCAUGUUAUCAGGAGGGACCAGUCCCUGGGGGAAGGACAUCAUGCUUGGUAAAGUAGCAAAAAAGAGAAAGACACUCAAUGAGAUAGAUUGACACAGUGGCUGCAACAAUGGGCUCAAACAAAGCAACAACUGUGAGGAUGACUCAGGAUAAGGCAGUGUUUUGUUCUGUUGUACAUAGGGUUGUUGUGAACCAGAACCAACUUGAUGGCACCUAACAACAGCAACAACGAGCAUUGUUAUCCCCAUUUUAGAGACAAAGAAACUGAGGCUCACCAGGUUAAAUUACUUGCACAAGGUCACACUGAACAGAUCUGGGAUUUGGACCCAGCUAUACUUGACUCUUAAGCCAGAGUACUUAACUCGUAUAGUCAACUGUUGUGAAAGAUGUGGAAGUAUAGGACAUGAAACUUGGUUUCAAACAAGUGUUAGCUUGGUUGUAGGAGGAAGUCUAAAAUGCAUAAAAUAAUGGAGAAUUACAGCAAAAUCAAAAAACAAAAGAAAACAAAACCAGUUGCUGUCAAGUUGAUUUAGACUCUUGGCAACCGCAUAUGUUGCAAUAGAAGUGUGUUCCAGAAGGCUUUCAAGGCUGUGACCUUUUGGAAGCAGAUUUCUAGACCUUUCUUCCAAGGCACCUCUGGGUGGGUUCAAACCACCAACCUUUGGGUUAGUAGCCCAGUGCUUAACCAUUUGCACCACAAAGGGACUCCUUAAAGAAAAACAGCGCAUACUUAGUUACUAAGGUGUGUGGUGGUACCAGUCUUGGAGCAAGUAGGAGUUGUAUCAGUCAGGUUUGGCUAGAUUACACUGUGGUAACGAACAAACCCAAUGUCUCAGUGGCUUAAAAGAACAAAGGUGUAUUCCUCACUCAUGUCUCAUGUCUACCAGAGGUCAGCAGGGGAGGGGUGAUCUGCUCAUCAUAGUCACUUAGGGAACCAGGCUGGCAGAGUUGCCAUCAUCUCCAACGUUGCCUGUUGCUUUGUGUGAGAGACAGACAGACAGACAGAGAGAAAGACUGGUGCAUCCUGCAUCAAACUGAAAGCUCCUGCCUGGCAGUGACACACCUCAGCUCUGUUCAGUUUCAGUCAUAACGCUAGUGACGUGGUCAUACUUGUCUUCAAGGGGGAGGGAAGUGCAAUCCUACCAUGUGUCAGGAGGAGUUCUGGAAAUACUCGGUGGACUGCAUGAACCACUCCCGCUGAGUUCAUAGAAAGAACCAUGUAGGACUUUGGGGUAGUGAGCACCAGUUCAAGCCAAGGCCCAGAAUACAGUCUUCAUUUUUACACAGAAAAAUUUAGGCCUGCUAGUAAACUGAUUUACGAGCAACCCACUGGCAAGCUCUCUGAAACACAAAAGCAUUUGCCAAUUAUUCUAUCACCACCAAGAGAUGGUGCCCCAUGCGUGGGACAUGGGCCAUCUCAGUUCCACCUGGAGGCAAUAUCAGCCAUUUGCCAUCCAUUGCCUUCCACGGUGUUUCUUUCUUAACGUGAUGCUCUUGUUUCUUGCAGGAAUCCAGAGUUAGGUCUCCUUGAUUGAUUUUUCAUUGUGUGUCUCUCAUCGUAUCAGGGUUGGACAGAGAUCCAGGAAGCCGGGCAGGGAAGAGAGGCUGCUGGACUCACAGGCCGUGGGCUACUGCCUCCAGAUGGGGCUGGCUUGGCAAUUUUCAGCCUGCUCUCCGGGUCGACUAGCCCUUCGUGGGAAAGAUUAGUGGAACAUACACCGCUCUGGGAGUGAAAUACGGAUUGAAAGAAAACAUACACAGGGAUUAAAAUAGAACCUGGCAGUUAUUAUGUAGAUCUGUGGUUUCUUGACUUUCUGAAGACCAUCCUUCUUUCAGGCACCCUGGUGGCGCAGUAGUUAAGAGCUAAGGUUGCUAACCAAAAGGUCAGCAGUUUCAAUCCACCAGCUGCUCCUUGAAAACCCUGUGGGGCAGUUCUACCCUGCCCUAUAGGGUCGCUAUGAGUGGGAUCACUCCAUAGCAACAGGCUUUUUUUUUUUUAAUCGUCUUUUAAUCACUCCAUGGCAACAGGCUUUUUUUUUAAACCGUCUUUUAGAACAUGAAAUUCUCAAGGCCCACUCCCCCUCCAAAAGUUCUGAUACGUUGAGAAGCACCUCUCUUUCUGUGUCCCCACUUGACAAGAAUAUUUUAUUGAAUUUUACUUCCUGUACCUUAGUUAUAAAUUUUUCAACACCCAUGUUCUCCCACAUCAGAAAGUGUGUUACACCCUAGGGAUAGGAGCCCCACUUGAGAAUCUAUGAACCCAGCAAAGACUCAGACAAAGGGCGAGGAGAGACAGCAUAUUGGUUUAGAGAAAAAUUUGGAGCCCAGCAAACAGGUUCAAAUCCAGAUUCUGCUAUUCAAAAAAUGUGUGAACUUGGGCAACUUCCAUAACCUUUCCAGGCCUUAUGUUCUUUGUCUAUAAAAUGGGAACAAGAGGUACAGUACUAAAUGUUCCAUGGGGCGAGGGGGGCCCAGGAAAAACUAGAUGAGACAAUGACCACAGAACAUUUAGCAUCCAGCACAAAAGGAACACUCAGCAAUGACGGACAAACCGCAAGAUGUCGACCAAAAUAGAGUACAAUGGGGUGACCAUAUGGAACUGAGAAUUUUCACAAAGCACUAUUUUUACAUCUUAACUUCUUUGGGCUUUUCUGCUCCCUCUUUUAUAAAAGGCCUCCCACCCACUUGUUUUCUGGAAGGUGAAGAUCAUAGACCAAAAGAGGCUUCCUAUAAGCUCUUCACUGAAGACAGCCAAGUCAUUAUUUCAACUGAGGAAGUCUCAGAAUGACAGAGUGAUAGACCUGUGGGACUGGAAGGGACUUCUGGGAUCCGUCCCCCUUAUCCGAUUGAUGGAGAAAUUCAGACCCAGAGACAUGAAGUGACUUCCUCAGUAGGUCUGUGUGAAUGGCAUUUCUGGAGUUGUGUAGGGCACAGCCACCCUCUGUGCAAACCCGUAGAGGUGAGAGAUGGAAGAAGAGAUACAGGAACUGGAUGGCUUGGUUCCGUCCUUAUAAUCCAACCAUCCUGAGAGGGGAUCUACCCAUUGGCUGCUCUUUGUUUAACUGUUUGAGCCAGUUGGAGUGAGAUGUUCUGUCACUUGCUAUCUUGUUGUAAUUCAUCAAGGACCUCAAAGUGCUAUGAGUAUUUAAAGAGGAAGACUUCAUAACAGAAAAGCCUUCCCUGGGAAGAGGUUACGUCAAAGAAGAGUGUGAAAGGAAGAAUAGCUGACUCGGUAGGGAGCAGGGAAGGGAGAGACAAUUCAGGAAGGAGAAGACCUCCAACACAAGCCAGAAAUAGGAAAGCUGGGGUAAAGGGUGUUUGGGGAAUUCUAUUUAAGAAAGUUUGGCUAGAACAUUGAAUACCUGAAAAGGUAAUGGGAGUUAGGAUGGAAAAAUAUAUGUUCCAACCAGUCUGUGAGGUUUGCUCUUUGUGUUGCUGGUAAUAAGGAGCGGAACAAUCAGAGCUGGGUUUUAGGAUGAAUUCAGUAGGAGAAAAGGGAGACGAUAAUGAAAGGAGAGAAUUGGUUGGGAGGCUAUUGUAAUUGUCUCCAAGUAAGAGCAUCCAUGGUUUCUUGGGUGGCCAACUGUCCUGGUUUCUCAGGACGUGGGACUUUCAGUGCUUAGAAGUUCAGUUUCUGGAGCGUUGAUCAAAACCAUAAAGGAAACGAUUAAUAGAUUUCGGUGAGUUAAAAUAACAUAUAAGGUAAGAAUGAAUGAAAAAAUAGAAAAUAAUCUAAAAAUGUCUAAACUUCUGUGUUUUUCUCCAGAAUAAAGAAAUGAAAAAUUAACCCAUAUCCCUUUGAGACUCAAGCCCUCCAGUGAUGCCUGCCUCCACCUCCAACAUCCAGUGUCCUUGUCACUCCCCAUGUUCACGGUCAUCUCGUGUACCUCAAGGUCUACUCCUGUCCCCAUUUUUUAAAUUUUUAUUGAGUUGACAUUCACGUAACAUAGAAUUCACCACUUCAAAGUAGGCAGUUCAGCGGCAUGUAGUACAUUCACAAUGUCGUGCAACUGUCACCAUUGUCUAGUUUCCUCUGCCUUUCUUGUGGUUGCUCUUCAUUGCCAUUGAGUUGACUCUGACGCACGGCAACCUUACGUGUGCAGAGUAGAACUACUCCAAAGGGUUUUCAAGGCUGUGACCUUUGAGAAGCAAAUCAUCAGGCCUAUCUUCCAAAAUGCCUCUGGGUGGGCUCCAGCUGCCAACCUUUCAGCUAGUGCAAGAGGUUAAGUGCUCAGCUAAUCACUGAAAGUUUGGUGGUUCAAAUCCACCCAGAGGUACCUCGGAAGAUCAGCCUGGUGACCUGCUUCUGAAAGGUCACAGCCUUGAAAACCCUAUAGAAUAAUAUUUUCCAGUGCUGAAAUAUUUGCCUCUUGAAUGGUCUCGAAUGGAUUAUUAACAAUUCCAAACAGAAAUUUUACGUUAGUUUAACAAUAAACCUAGGAUUAAAGGAAAUAUAAAUUAAAGAAAAGAAAAACUAAACAAAGAUCCACAAUAGCAAUGAGCACCAAUUUAGUAAAAUAAAGGACGGGACAGUGUAUGACUCCUUUAGCGGUAGCUCCUUCCCAGGUUUUUCUCCCCACACUGAGAUCAGGGCUGCGGAAGAGGGUUUCAUGUCCAAGGCAAACUCCUUCUUUGGUCUAACCCAGGUUUCACAAAGAGCAGCUGCUGCUAAGGAGUUCCUGGCCACGUGACAGAAAUCAUAAGUAGACGCUGCUAAGAGGUUUUUUCCCAAAGGGGAGAGUAUGCCAAACAUGAGUGGCAGAGAGCGCCCAGGGGGAAGAUCGUAUGCUCAUGAAGAAGCAAAGACAGACAAGCACCAUGGUCACAGUUCUUGAGUGUUUUGAAACCCCUUGGAACUGACGUAAAUCUUUCUCACGAGCACGGUUCUACUCUGACGCAAAUCAAGUUGCCAUGAUUUGGGGUUGACUCUAUGGCAACUGGAUGAAUGGAUAGAAGCAGCAAACGGUUAGAAAGUUAGAAGAAGCCAUUCCCUGCAAAGAGCAAAGUCACUAGCCAGCCCUGUGGUCUGGGUGAGCGGCCUGGCCUUUCCACGCCUCAGUUUCUCCGCCUGUCAAUGGGAAAGCUAACCCCCACCUCAGAGGGUUGGUGAGAUGCUAAAAAUUGCAAAGAGCCCUGAAGAUGUACUGAAAGAGCAAAAUCAUUUUACAAACUUAAGGUAUGACAUGAAAAUUCACAGCAUCUGAAUACCUAUCAGAAAUCAGAACUAUUAAAAAGAAAAGGCCAAAAUAGAUGUCAGAAGAGGCUCUGAAACUUGCUCUUAAAUGUAGUAUAGCUAAAGUGAUAUUAAGUCUAUAUUAGGAUUCUUGGUGCUUUUUGAACACUAUCCCACCAACCAAAAAGAUUAUGUUAAGCUUUACUUUCUGCCCACUCUGUUAUGAAAAGAAACAGGUAUGUCUUGUUUUCCAAUUAAACAAACCCUUGUCCCUCUGGAGAUCCAGGGUCAUCCCUCCCCUCCCUCCUUGUAUGUUUAAGGAGAUUAGAAUCUAACUGAGGAGACAAGGACUAAGUUGUGAUUGGUCUGAAUGUCUGACUAGAAAUCAUCAGUCCUACCUGGGUCCUUGGCCCCUUGCUCUCCCCUCCCCACCUCCAGGCCCUGCUGACCCAAGAGAGAUAAGGUGACUCCCAGCCCGGUGACUAUGACCAGAUCAGACUUUGUACCCAUCUCUAGCAUCUGCCCAGUUCCAGCAUCCUGUAUCUCAGAGUCAGUGAGUGAAUCCCUAUCCCAUCCUGGUUGGUGGGUCUCAGCCAUCACAACCUGCCCAGAAUCUCCAGCUGCUUAGGCUGGGGACCUACCUUGCCCUUUCCAAACACUGUUUAUCUCUCCCCCCAUUACCCCACCAUGGGAGUGGAGUCUUCUGGGCGCUGGAUUCUGGCCUCAUGUCUGGGAUGCUAUCCUCUGUGAGCAGACACGGCCUGCAAGGACCUCUGGAUAAGGCAUGCUUGCUUAGCCUUGACACUGUCGACAUCAUGGGCUGGGUAAUCCUUUGUGGUGGGAGCUGUCUUAUAAGAUGUUUAGUAGCAUCCGUGGC